UACGUAGGGGGCAAGCGUUGUCCGGAUUUAUUGGGCGUAAAGAGCGUGUAGGCGGUUUGGUAGGUCCGCUGUGAAAACUCGAGGCUCAACCUCGAGACGCCGGUGGAAACCAUCAGGCUAGAGUCCGGAAGAGGAGAGUGGAAUUCCUGGUGUAGCGGUGAAAUGCGCAGAUAUCAGGAAGAACACCCGUGGCUAAGGCGGCUCUCUAGUACGGUACUGACGCUGAGACGCGAAAGCGUGGAGAG
rnacentral:rRNA from 1 species